AUUAAAAAAAAUAACACCAUAGUGUAACUAAUUGGUCCUUUCGUACUAAACUAAUUAUUUUUAAUUAAGAUAGAAACCAACCUGGCUCACGCCGGUCUGAACUCAAAUCAUGUAAGAAUUUAAAAGUCGAACAGACUUAUAAUAAAGAUUGCUGCUCCAUUAAAUAUUCUUAAUUCAACAUCGAGGUCGCAAAAAAUAGUAUAAAUAUGAACUCCCCACUAAAAUUACGCUGUUAUCCCUAAGGUAAUUUUAUCUUACAAUCCAUCUUUAAGACCAUUAAGACACAAAUUUGUGAAAAUAUAAGUUAAAGUUAAAAUUUAACUACCACCCCAGCAAAAGAAAUAUAUAUAGAAUAAACUUUAAAUAUAAAAAAUUAACCCCUAAACUAUAUCUUAAACUCUAUAGGGUCUUCUCGUCCCUAAGUUUUAAAUAAGCAUUUUCACUUACAAUUAAAAUUAUAAAUUUAACCUUAAUAAAAAAUAUUUCUCAUUUAUCCCUUCAUUCCAGCUUCCAAUUAAAAAACUAAUUAUUAUGCUACCUUUGUACAGUCAAAAUACUGCAGCCAUUUAAUUUUUUCAUAGGGCAGAAUUUACCUUUUAUAUUAAUUCAAAAAGAAAUGUUUUUGAUAAACAGUUGGAAAUAAAAUUUGUCGAAUUCAUUUUAGAUCAACUAUAAAGAUUAUACUAAUUAAAUAAGUAUUAAAUAAUAAUUAUAUUAAAUUAAAAAACUAAGUAAAAAAAUAAAUAAAAAAAAAUUAUAUCUAUAAGAAUAAAUUUAAUAUAAACUUUAAUCAAAAUUUAAAAGAUAAUAAAUUCCAAUGAACAAAAAUUAUAAUUAAUCUAUUAAGAUUAUCCCUAAUAGAAUAACAUCUAAGCAAAAUAACAAUAAAUUUAAAUAGAUAUAUAAUUAAAUUAAAUCCUUAAUAACCAGAUAUAUAAAGAACGAAAGCAUUUAACUACAAUAAAUAUAUUAUAAAAUGUUAUUCAACAAAUAAUUAUAUAAACUUAUAGAUAUCUUUAAUUCGGGAAAAUAAAAUAAUUAAAUAAAUUAAUCUACCCUGAUACAAAAGGUACUAACUAAUUAUUCUAAACAAAACAAUUCUAACCUUAACAGUACAAUAAUAUAAAAUUAUUCCUUUUAAAUACUAAAAAUUUAUAUAAUUUAAAUUUUUAUAAAAAAAUUAACAGAAAAUGCU
rnacentral:rRNA from 1 species